rnacentral:piRNA from 1 species
UCCCACGGACUCACCUGGUAGCCUUUUGU